CCACGCGCGAGUGGCGGAGGUUGCCGCAGCAUCCGGAGCUAAGGACCCGGAGUGAGCGGAGCGUGUCGAGCGGCCGCUCUCUGGUUACCCGGCCUUGGGCUCCCUCCGGGGCGGCCGGUCCUGCCAGGCAGACGCGGAACGUGACUUUGAUUUCACUGCGAUACUUGAGCAAGUAAACACAUGCUAAAGGAUGGCACAUGUGCUGAAAUGUUGAAGUCAAAGGAAGUAAACAGAAACUGAAAUUGUAUGUUCUUACCUUGUUUUGCUCAGAUGUGUACUGUAUUUUUAGAGUAUCCAUAGCUCUGAUCAUCGCUUGUAUGGCGGUAAAUAUGUUUUGAUAAACCAGUUUUGUGAAGCUUUUCCUAUCUUCAUCUGUGUAACCUGACCCAUGAAUAAUCCUCAUCUGUUUAAUAAAGGUGCUUUUUCCACUUU